rnacentral:snoRNA from 1 species
AGUACGUGAUGUGGACAUCUGCUAAGAAAUUCUUUGAAUCUUUCCCAUGCUUCAUAUAAUGAUUAAUUAUCCAUCUGCACAAAAUUAGUAAUAUCUUACGCAUCU